rnacentral:rRNA from 1 species
AAUUGUUAGUGGCAGACGGGUGAGUAAUGCGUAGGAAUCUACCUAGUAGUAUGGAAUAGCCAUUAGAAAUGAUGGGUAAUACUGUAUAAUCCCUGCGGGGGAAAGAUUUAUCGCUAUUAGAUGAGCCUACGUUAGAUUAGCUAGUUGGUAAGGUAAUGGCUUACCAAGGCUAUGAUCUAUAGCUGGUCUGAGAGGACGAUCAGCCACACUGGAACUGAGAUACGGUCCAGACUCCUACGGGAGGCAGCAGUGGGGAAUAUUGGACAAUGGGCGAAAGCCUGAUCCAGCUAUGCCGCGUGAGUGAAGAAGGCCUUCGGGUUGUAAAACUCUUUCA